GACGAACGCUGGCGGCGUGCUUAACACAUGCAAGUCGAACGGAAAGGCCCUGCUUUUGUGGGGUGCUCGAGUGGCGAACGGGUGAGUAACACGUGAGUAACCUGCCCUUGACUUUCGGAUAACUUCAGGAAACUGGGGCUAAUACCGGAUAGGAUCUCCUGCUGCAUGGUGGGGGUUGGAAAGUUUCGGCGGUUGGGGAUGGACUCGCGGCUUAUCAGCUUGUUGGUGGGGUAGUGGCUUACCAAGGCUUUGACGGGUAGCCGGUCUGAGAGGGUGACCGGCCACAUUGGGACUGAGAUACGGCCCAGACGCCUACGGGAGGCAGCAGUGGGGAAUAUUGCACAGUGGGCGGAAGCCUGAUGCAGCAACGCCGCGUGCGGGAUGACGGCCUUCGGGUUGUGAACCGCUUUCGCCUGUGACGAAGCGUGAGUGACGGUAAUGGGUAAAGAAGCACCGGCUAACUACGUG
rnacentral:rRNA from 1 species